rnacentral:rRNA from 1 species
UUUAAGGUCUAACCUGCUCAGUGAUUAUUUAAAUAGCCGCAGUAUAUUAACUGUGCAAAGGUAGCAUAAUCAUUAGAUUUUUAAUUGAAAUCUGGAAUGAAUGGUUGAAUGAGAAAAAAUCUGUCUCUUUUAUAAUAAUUUUGAAUUUUAUUUUUAAGUUAAAAAGCUUAAAUUUUAAAAUAAGACGAGAAGACCCUAUAAAGUUUAAUAUUUAAUAAUUUUAAUUUAAAAUGUAAAUUUUUAUUUAUUUUUAUUAUUUGUUUUAUUGGGGUGAUAUUAAAAUUAAUUAAACUUUUAAUUAUUAAAACAUUUAUUUAUGAAAAUUUGAUCUUUAGAUUUGGAUUUUAAGAAAAAAUUACUUUAGGGAUAACAGCGUAAUUUUCCUGGAGAGUUCGAAUUAAUAGGAAAGAUUGCGACCUCGAUGUUGGAUUAAAGUUAAUUUUUAAUGAAGCGGUUAAAAUAUUAAGUCUGUUCGACUUUUAAAACUUUACA